rnacentral:rRNA from 1 species
CCUACGGGAGACAGCAGUGAGGAAUAUUGGUCAAUGGGCGCGAGCCUGAACCAGCCAAGUAGCGUGAAGGAUGACUGCCCUACGGGUUGUAAACUUCUUUUAUAUGGGAAUAAAAUGUUCCACGUGUGGGAUUUUGUAUGUACCAUAUGAAUAAGGAUCGGCUAACUCCGUGCCAGCAGCCGCGGUAAUACGGAGGAUCCGAGCGUUAUCCGGAUGUAUUGGGGUUAAAGGGAGCGUAGGUGGAGUGUUAAGUCAGUUGUGAAAGUUUGCGGCUCAACAGGAAAAUUGCAGUUGAAACUGGCAGUCUUGAGUACAGUAGAGGUGGGCGGAAUUCGUGGUGUAGCGGUGAAAUGCUUAGAUAUCACGAAGAACUCCGAUUGCGAAGGCAGCUCACUGGACUGCAACUGACACUGAGGCUCGAAAGUAUGGGUAUCAAACAGGAUUAGAUACCCCUGUAGUC